CUUACUGCCAAUCAGCGGUUGCCGCUGCCCAAGCCCUAUCUCCGGGACGCCGCUCACGCAGUGAACCAUCCUGUCUAGAGAGGCGGAUGAACUCCGGUUUCGAAGUCCACCUUUUAGGGGCGGAGGAAAAAAGAGCGGCACAAAGAAGUCGAGUCUCUUCCGCUGAGAGGAGGGCUCUGCGACCGCGCUGCGCCGCGCCGCCGUGACGACAUCCUUCCGCGCCCGAAGCCGAGCGUCCUCAGCGGCGGGUGGCGGGCGCCUGCGCAGUGGCUCCGAGCGGGCGGUUGCUUGUUGGUUGUUGUAGUAACGGGGGAAGCAGCCGUCGGCGGCGGCCGUGAGCCCGGCUGGGGAAGGAGGACGGAGGAAACUGUGCCACCCAAAUUGAUUGAUCCAGUGAAUCUGCAAGGAAAGGUCUCUGAGGCCCCCGUCUGCUGACUGUAUGACAACCCCUAAAGGAAAUGCCAGUCGUGAUGGCCCGGGACCUGGAGGAAACAGCAUCAUCCUCAGAGGAUGAGGAGGUGGUAAGCCAAGAGGAUCAUCCAUGUAUCAUGUGGACUGGAGGCUGCAGGAGAAUUCCAGUUUUGGUGUUCCAUGCUGAUGCUAUUCUGACAAAGGACAACAAUAUUCGAGUAAUUGGAGAACGUUAUCAUUUGUCUUACAAGAUUGUACGAACAGACAGUCGCCUGGUGCGCAGCAUUCUGACAGCCCAUGGAUUUCAUGAAGUUCACCCAAGCAGCACUGACUAUAACCUAAUGUGGACAGGAUCCCACCUGAAGCCCUUCUUACUUCGUACCCUCUCUGAAGCACAAAAGGUUAAUCACUUUCCCAGGUCGUAUGAACUAACCCGGAAGGACCGACUGUACAAAAACAUCAUUCGAAUGCAGCAUACGCAUGGAUUCAAGGCUUUCCACAUCCUGCCUCAGACCUUCCUGCUGCCGGCUGAGUAUGCGGAAUUCUGUAAUUCAUAUUCAAAGGACCGGGGACCUUGGAUAGUAAAACCAGUGGCCUCUUCUAGGGGGCGGGGCGUCUACCUGAUCAACAAUCCAAACCAGAUUUCCCUGGAAGAGAACAUCCUGGUCUCUCGUUACAUCAGCAACCCCCUGCUCAUAGAUGAUUUCAAAUUUGAUGUGCGCCUCUAUGUGCUUGUGACUUCCUAUGAUCCUCUUGUCAUCUAUCUCUAUGAAGAAGGAUUGGCUAGGUUUGCAACCGUGCGAUAUGAUCAAGGAGCCAAGAACAUUCGGAACCAGUUCAUGCACCUGACAAACUACAGUGUGAACAAGAAGAGUGGAGACUAUGUCAGUUGUGAUGACCCGGAAGUGGAGGAUUAUGGGAACAAAUGGAGCAUGAGUGCUAUGCUGAGGUAUCUGAAACAAGAAGGCAGAGAUACAACUGCGUUGAUGGCCCAUGUAGAAGACCUGAUCAUUAAGACUAUAAUCUCUGCCGAACUAGCUAUUGCUACGGCCUGUAAAACCUUUGUUCCUCAUCGCAGCAGUUGUUUUGAACUCUAUGGCUUUGAUGUGCUCAUAGAUUCUACUCUGAAGCCAUGGUUGUUGGAAGUGAAUCUCUCUCCUUCUUUGGCCUGUGAUGCACCUCUGGACCUAAAGAUUAAAGCCAGUAUGAUUUCAGAUAUGUUCACUGUUGUAGGAUUUGUGUGCCAGGAUCCUGCCCAGCGGGCAUCAACCCGGCCAAUUUAUCCCACCUUUGAGUCUUCCAGGAGAAACCCUUUCCAGAAACCUCAGCGUCCGGUAUCUGCACAGUUUCAGUCAUGUUUCAACGCCAAACAGCGUUCCCGUCCACUCUCUGCCAGUGAUGCGGAAAUGAAAAACCUUGUGGCCUCAGCCCGGGAGAAGGUGCCGGGGAAGUUAGGUGGUUCUGUGCUUGGUCUGUCAAUGGAGGAGAUCAGAGUUUUACGGAGGGUAAAGGAAGAGAAUGAUCGGAGAGGUGGAUUUAUUCGCAUAUUCCCUACAUCAGAGACAUGGGAAAUAUAUGGGUCCUACCUCGAACACAAGACCUCCAUGAACUAUAUGCUGGCGACACGUCUAUUCCAGGACAGGGGACACCCAAGAAGAAGCUUAUUGACAGGAAGAACACGGAUGACUGCUGAUGGAGCACCGGAAUUGAAGGUAGAGAGUAUGAAUUCAAAGGCCAAGAUACAUGCUGCUCUUUAUGAGAGAAAGCUCCUGUCUUUGGAGGUGCGAAAACGUAGACGUCGGAGUGGCAGAUUGAGGUCAUUGAGGCGAAAAUACCCAGUGAUUACCCAACCAGCUGAAAUGAAUGUUAAAACUGAGACAGAGAGUGAAGAGGAGGAAGAAGAUGCAUUAGACAAUGAAGAUGAAGAACAGGAAGCUUCCCAGGAGGAGUCUGCAGGGUCCCUUGGAGAAAAUCAAGCCAAAUACACACCCUCAUUGACCAUUAUGGUAGAAAAUUCACCCAAAGAAAAUGCCGUGAAAGUUCCUGAAUGGAAUAACAAAGGUGAACAGUGCCACAAAAUUGAGACUCAGGAGUCAGAGCCUAAAUUUAACUUGAUGCAGAUUCUGCAAGAUAAUGGCAAUCUUAGCAAAGUGCAGGCCCGAAUAGCAUUCUCUGCCUAUCUCCAGCAUGUUCAAAUUCGCCUGAUGAAAGACAGUGGAGGUCAGACGUUCAGUGCCAGUUGGGCUGCCAAAGAGGAUGAACAGAUGGAGCUGGUGGUUCGUUUCCUCAAGCGAGCAUCAAGUAACCUCCAGCACUCACUGAGGAUGGUAUUACCCAGUCGACGACUGGCACUUCUGGAACGUAGAAGAAUCCUGGCCCACCAGCUGGGUGACUUUAUCAUUGUGUACAACAAGGAAACAGAACAAAUGGCUGAAAAGAAAUCAAAGAAGAAACUUGAAGAAGAAGAGGAAGAUGGGGUGAAUAUGGAAAACUUUCAGGAGUUCAUCAAACAAGCAAGUGAGGCUGAACUGGAGGAGGUGCUGACUUUUUAUACCCAAAAAAACAAGUCUGCAAGUGUCUUCCUGGGGACUCACUCAAAAAGCUCUAAAAACAGCAACAGCUAUUCUGAUAGCAGGGCAAAGGGUGAUCACCCUGAGACGAUGGAAGAAGUGAAAAUAAAGCAACCCAAACAGCAACAGGCAACAGAAAUUCACUCUGAUAAGUUAUCUCGAUUUACCACUUCAGCAGAAAAAGAGGCUAAAUUAGUCUAUACCAAUUCUUCCUCUACUUCUUUCUCUGGUCCUGCUGCUACUCUUCUGCAGAAAAUUCCCAGCACCCAUUUGUCAUCUCUUGUUACAACCUCUGACCUCUCCCCAAGGCCUGGCCACCAUUCUUUAUCUCAGAUUCCUCCAGCUAUCCCCAGCAUGCCUCACCAGCCCACAAUUUUACUGAACACAGUUCCUGACAUUGCUUCUCCCUCCAUAUAUCCUGGGACACAGAACGUACCAAGCCCUGCUGGCCUGCCACGCUGUCGAUCAGGCAGUUACACCAUUGGCCCCUUUUCCUCUUUCCAAAGCGCUGCACACAUCUAUAGCCAGAAACUGUCUCGACCCUCUUCAGCAAAGGCAGCAGGUUCGUGCCAUCCAAUCAAGCAGCAUUCAGGAGUAGCCAAAACACAGGAGGGAGAAGAUGGUUCUUCGCACAGCAAACGGUACAACCAAAGUAUGGUGACAGCUGAACUUCAGCGGCUGGCCGAGAAGCAGGCAGCAAGGCAGUAUUCUCCAUCCACACACAUCAGUCUCCUCACCCAGCAGGUAACAAACCUGAAUUUGACAAGUGGCGUCAUAAACAGAAGCAGUGCUUCAACUCCCCCCACCCUUCGGCCUGUGAUCAGUCCUAGUGGCCCGACAUGGUCAAUACAGUCAGACUCCCAUGCUCCUGAGAGCCACUCCAGCCCUCCUGGAAGCAGGAGCCUCCAAACAGGUGGCUUUGCCUGGGAGGGAGAGGUAGAGAACAACGCGUACAGCAAGGCUACAGGGGUGGUCCCCCAGCACAAGUAUCACCCCACAGCGGGCAGCUACCAGCUCCACUUUGCCCUGCAGCAGCUCGAACAACAAAAACUUCAGUCCCGGCAGCUUCUGGACCAGAGUCGUGCCAGGCACCAGGCAAUCUUUGGCAGCCAGACACUACCUAACUCCAAUUUAUGGACAAUGAAUAAUGGUGCAGCUUGCAGAAUUUCAAGUGCCACAGCUAGUGGCCAGAAGCCAACCACUCUGCCCCAAAAAGUGGUGCCAUCUCCAAGUUCUUCCUCCUCCCUGGUCCCCAAACCCCCAUCCAAUCACAAACAAGUUCUCAGAAAGGCAACAUCCCAGAGGACUUCCAAGCAGGACUGUGGGAAAACCGGAAACAGCUCAGCACCAAAAAUGCACAGAAGGGGAGAAAACGCAAGAUUUCUUCAGAAUUUAAGAAAUAUAAUCCAAGUAUCAAAAGGCAUGCUGUGAGGCGUUGUUCCAGGAAAUAGUUUCCAAUUUGCCUUUAAAACUCUAGCACAAGUCUCUGAAGCUAAAUAAGUUAGCACUAAUGGAGACCUUACCGUUCUCCCACUUACAUGGAAAAUGUACAGUGUUAUGAGGGCCCCACUGCUUUCAAUAUUCUCCUGACUUUUAGGAAAAAGAAUAGCAUUAUUUUUAUUUGAACUGAUGCAGUGAAAAGUUCCAUCUAUGAGAUAUCCAGAUAAAGCUUUUUUUAAAUAACCGUUUUAUUUUAGAAUAAUUUUAGAUUUACAGAAAAGUUGUAAAGAUAGUACACAUAAAGGUGAGUACACUCAGUUUUCCCUGUUGUUAACAUCUGAUAUUGCCAUGGUAGGUUUGAAGAAUGUACAGCACUAAGAAACUGUCAUUGGUAGAUUGCUAUAAAUUAAACUCUGUCCUUUUUUGGAUUGAUGAAGUUAUUCUUAAUCUAGAGAAACUUUUCAUGGCUCCUGAAAUCAGGAUUCUGAGUAUCAGUUGAUAUAUUCUUAUUGUUCUAAAGUAAUUAAUGUUCCUAGCCAGCAUGGCGAGUUACUUAAUAUCUUUGUGACUCAGUUUCAUGUUUUUUUGUUUUUUUUUUGUUUUUGGUGAGGAAGACUGGCCCUGAGCUAGUAUCCGUUGCCAAUCUUCCUCUUUUUGCUUGAGGAAGAUUACCCCUGAGCUAACGUCUGUGCCCAUCUUCCUCUAUUUUGUAUGUGGGACACCUCCACAGCAUGGCUUGAUGAGCAGUAUGUAGGUCUGCGCCCAGGAUUCAAACCAGCAAACACCGGGCCACCAAAGCGGAGCACAUGAACUAAACCACUACGCUAUCGGGCCAGCCCCUCAGUUUCCUAUUUUAAAAUAGGAAUAAUAAUAGUACAUGUCUCAUAGGGUUAUUAAGAGAAAUAAAUGAAUUAAUAAUGUCAAACACAAAUACAGUGCCUAGUACAUAAUAGACGUUAAAUUAGUUUUAGGUAUUAUUAUGAUUAAUACUGAGAUGACAUUUCAAGAAAUUUUCAGGUAAUUUUUUACUUUCUUCAUGAAAGAUGUGUUGCUUCAUUUACUUGGAGUUUAUUGCAGCCUUUCCUCUGGCUCCGUUCAGAUUAAUCAGGAGCCCUCGGCUGUGACUGGUGAGACUGAGUCACUCUCAGGAAUGCCAUUGUUGCCCCAAGAGACACGACUAAUGAGAAGUUGUAAUGAGCUUUUGACCGUGCCAAGCCCUGUGUUUUUGGGUUGAACUUCAAACUUCUCCUAGCACAGAAGUUGGCAUUGGACAAAUAUAGAAGCAAUUUCCAAGAGCAUCAAAGUUUCCACAUCCUAGAGGGUUGAGUUUAGAGAACAAUAGAACAUAAAAGAUGGAAUGUCAUUUGGAUUUUGGUGCAAAGGGAGUUGAGAGUCAGAACAGUGGGGUCCUAUUUCUUUAUGAUAAUAUUCAAGUCACUUUCCUUCUAAAGGUUUCAGUUUCCCAUCUGUAAAGCAAAAACCACUGUUCCCACUGAAUAAUUAACCAAAAUAACUUGUUUUCUGUCUAUUCCAUUGAAAGCCUUUUAUGAGCACAUUUGCUUUUUAAUCCUGAUGCUUUAAAGUCAUUUUCCUCAUCCCUUCUUGACCCAACAGUUCUUUGUUCUAGUUCUCAAGUUCAUAUACUUAGCUAAAUCUCAUUUGUCAUUUCUGUGAAAAGAUGAUUUAGAUUUUUUUUUUUUUACCUUUUCCGUAGUGCCAAUAGCCUUUCUUGAUUUUCCUUUCUAAUGUUUGCAACACUUCAUAAUUUAGUACCCACUUUAGAUCCUCCUUUCAAAACUAUUUGUGGUAUUUCUUCCAGGAAGUCAGCUGAACUAAGAAGGAUGACAGCCUCUGAACAACUACAUGCAUAUGUCUCUUCCUUGUAAAUGACCUUUUUUUCAGAGCCAGAAUCACACUGUCCAGGAAAUAUGGAGAAAGAAACCUGAGGAGAUUAAAGUUUGCCAGGGACAUGGGCAAAACUCAUAGACGAGAGAUGAAUUUGGAAGGGCAGGGUCAAAGCCUUUGUACCUUGGGACUGCUCUGAAGAAGGAAAACUGUGGGCUCCUCCACAGAAGGGCAGCUGAAUGGACUCCAGAGCAGCCUUAACUCUGCCGCCUUUGUGCCCAUCACCAGCUCCACAG